UACGUAGGGUGCGAGCGUUGUCCGGAAUUAUUGGGCGUAAAGGGCUCGUAGGCGGUCUGUUGCGUCAGGAGUGAAAACUCGGGGCUUAACCCCGAGCCUGCUUCUGAUACGGGCAGACUAGAGGUAUGCAGGGGAGAACGGAAUUCCUGGUGUAGCGGUGGAAUGCGCAGAUAUCAGGAAGAACACCAACGGCGAAGGCAGCUCGCUGGGACGGUACUGACGCUGAGACGCGAAAGCGUGGGGAGCGAACAGG
rnacentral:rRNA from 1 species